rnacentral:sRNA from 1 species
GUUGAGAUGGUUAAGUUAGUCCAAGUCGCGAGAUUAAGGCUGUGGUUUGAAAGGGCAUGGGUUUGAAUCCCACUCUCAACA